UCUUCCUCCUGCUCCAGCCAUGUAAACUGUGCCUUCUUCCCCUUGGCCUUCCACUAUAACUGUACAUUUCCUGAGGCCUCCCCAGGCAUGCUUCCUAUAGAGUCUGCAGAAUGCUGGUGAUGCCUAGAGAAAAAAGAAAAACAAAAACAAACUAACCCCAGAGCUAACAGAAGAAGAGAAACAACUGAAAUCAGAGCAGAACUGAAUGAAAUUAAGGCCCAAAAAUCCAUACAAAGAAUCAACAACCAAAAAGUACAAAACUAAGUUUUCUGAAAGGAUAAACAAACUUGAUAGACUUCUAGCCAGAUUAACAAAGAAAGAAAAAGAGAGAAAAUCCAAAUACACGCAUUCAGAAAUGGCAAAGAUGACAGUACAACUGAUUGUACAGAAAUACAAAAGAUCCUAUGAGACUAUUAUGACUAUGCACACAAACUAAAAAUUCUAGAGGAAAUUGAUAAAUUCCUGGAAACAGAUAAUUUCCCAAGAUUGAAUAAAGAAGAAAUUUAAACCCAGAACAAAGCAAUAUCAAGUUCCAAAAUUAAAUUAGUAAUAAAAAAUUUAACUUACAAACCAAAAAAUCCAUCAGAUGAGACAGAUUCACAGCCGAAGUCUACUAGAUGUAUAAAGAAGUACUGGUACCAAUCCUACUGAAACUAUUCUAAAAAGUCAAGGAAAAGGGACUCCUCCUUAACUCAAAAUACAAAGCCAGCAUCACCCUUAUACCAAAACCUGGCAAAAACACAACAAAAAGAAAACUGCAGGCCAAUAUCUCCAAUGAACAUAGAUGCAAAUAUCCACAACAAAAUACUAACAAACUGAAUCAAGAAACACAUCAAAAAGUUAAUUUAUCAUGAUUAAUUCAGCUUAAUUCCUGGGAUGCAAGGUUGAUUCACCAUAUGCAAAUUCAAUAACUGAUUUACCACAUAAACAGGAUUAAAAAGAAAAAAAAUGAUUAUUUCAAUAGAGGCAGGAAAAGCUUUCUGUAAAAUCCAACAUCCUUUCAUUAUAAAAAUCAUCAAGAAACUAGGCAUUGAAGAAGCAUUAAGAGCCAUUUAUGACAAACCCACAUCCAACAUGACACUGAAUGGGCAAAAACUGGAAACAUUCCCCUUGAGAACUGGAAUAAAACAGGAAUGCCCACUCUUAUCACGCCUACUCAGCAUAAUAUAAGAAGUCCCGUACAAUUGCCAGAGCAGUCGGGCAAGAGAAAGAAAUAAAGGACAUUCAAAUAGGAAAAUAAGUCAAACUCUUUGCUGGUGUAUGAUUCUAUACCUAGAAAAUGCUGAAGAUGCCACCAAAAGGCCCUUGGAAAUGAUAAAAGACUUCAGUAAAGUAUCAGGAACAAAUCAAUGUAGAAAAAUCAGUAGCACUUCUGUAUACCAGUAACGUUUAAGCUGAGAGCUAAAUUAAGAACAUAAUUCCACUUAAAAUAGCCACAAAAAAUGAAAAUACUUAGGAAUAUAUUUAAUCAGAAAGAUGAAAGAUCUCUACAGGGAGCACUGCAAAACACUGCUGAAAGAAAUAACAGAUGACACAAACAAAUGUAAAAACAAGGCCACACUGCUCAAAGUAUUCUACAGAUUCAAUGCUAUUCCUAUCAAAUUAUCAAGGAAAUUUUUCAUAGACCUAGAUUAAACUAUUCUAAAAUUAAUCUGAAACCAAAAAGUCUGAAUAGUCAACGUAGUCAUAAGAACAAAAAAGCUGGAGGCAAUUUAUUACUCAACUUCAAAGUAUACAAGUCUUCAGUAAACAAAAUAGCAUAGUACUGAUACAAAUACAGACACACAGACCAAUAAAACAGAAUUGAGACCCAGAAAUAAAGCUGUACACCUACAGCAAUGUGAUGUUCAACAAAGUUGACAAAAAUAAGCAAUGGGAAAAGACUUCGUAUUCAAUAAAUGGUGUUAAGACAGCUGGCUAGCCAUAUACAGAAGAAUGAAACUGGACUCUUUCCUUUCACUGUAUAUAAAAAAUAACUCAAGAUGAAUUAAAUACUUAAAUGUAAGACCUCAAAAUAUGAGAAUCCUAGAAGAAAACCUGUGAAACAGCAUUCUGGACAUCAGCUGUGGGAAAGAAUUUAUGACAAACUCCUCAGAAGAAAUUGCAACAAAAACCAACAAUUCACAAGUGGGACCUAAUUAAACUAAGGAGCUGUUGCAUAGCAACAGAGUAAACAGGAAAUCUACAGAAUGGGAGAAAAUAUUCACAAACUGAAUGCAUGCAUCCGACAGAGGUCUAAUAUCUCAAACCUAUAAGGAACUUAAACAAAUCAGUAAGCCAUAAUACAAAUAACUCCAUUAAAAAGUAGGCAAAAGACAUGAAGAGAUUCUUCUCAUAAGAAGACAUACAAGCAGCUAAGAAACAAAAAAAUGUCCCACAUCACUGAUCAGCAGAGAAAUGCAAGUCAAAAUCACAGUAAGAUACCAUCUAACACCAAUAAAAAUGGCUGUUACUAAAAUGUCAAAAAAAAAAAAAACAAAAAAAAACAGAUGCUGGUGAGCCACUGAGGAAGAAGUAUGGAGAUUCCUCAAAAAAACUUAGAGCUACCAUUUGGUCCAGCAAUCCUGUUACUGGAUGUGUUUUCAAAAGGAAAUAAAUAGUUCAACCAGACACCUGAACUUUUAUGUUCAUUACAGCACUAUACACAAUAGCAAAGUCAUGGACUCAACCUAGGUGCCCAUCAAUGGGGGAAAUGAAUAAAGAAAUGCGGUACAUAUACACCAUAGGAUACUAUAGAACAAUAAAAACGAAUGAAAUCAUGCUUUUUGCGGCAAUGUGGAUGCAACUGGAGGCCAUUAUCCUAAGUGAAUUAACGCAGGAACAGAAAACCAAAUACCAUAUAAUCUGACAUAAACUGGAGCUGAACAAUGCAUGCUCACAAACAUAAAGAUGGCAACAAUAGAAACCUGGGGACUACUAGAGGGGAGGUGGGGACAAGGAUUUAAAAAAUUAACAAUUGGAUACUAUAUUCAGUACCUGGGUGACAAGAUUAACUGUAUCCCAAAGCUUUGCAUCACUCAAUAUGCCCAGGUAACAAACCUGCAUAUGUACCCCUUUUAGUCUGAAAUAAGAAUUGAAAUUAUUAGAAAAUAAAUAAAGCUGGUGAUGAAGCAUGAACCAUAUUUUAAACAUAUAGAUUUUUAUCAUUUAUUACAUACACACCCAAUUUUAUAAUUACCAUUGAGAUUAGUAUUUUCUCAACUCAUCAUUUUAUUCAGAAUACAUCCAUUCUUUUCAUAAUUCAGUAAAGAUGUAUCGAAAGUCUAGUAUGAACAAGAUAAAAUGGUCACUUCAGUAAGGACAUUUAUUUUGAAGUAUGUUUACUCUUAUCCAUGCCUAAUAAUUCUCUCCAAAAGGUCGUUAUAGCUUUUAAUACACAAUCUUCAUAAGAAAGUUUUACAUUUAAAUUCAAGUUUAACAACGUAAAAAAUUUAUUUAUGUUUACUGUAUUUUGAACAUUUAUUAGAAACAAAGAGACCAUGGUUAUAUUCUAUGCUUUAGUACCAGCAUAUACUUUUAAAAUGUUAAUGUUUAUCAAAUACUAAUUUAAAUACAAAACAGUGAGAAUAAAAAACAUCUUUGCUGUAUAAAUUCAUAAAUUACUUCAGCUGAAAGUCUUUUUGAAACAAUAUCCAAAUAUUAUUUAACUGUUAAUACUGAUAACAUUGUAUGCCUUUUUUAUUUAUCAUUAAGAUGUAUCUGUUGGUAAGAUAAUAUAUUUUGCAAUGAUGGUUUAUAUAUUUAUGGUAUUGUACUUUUGAAAACUAUAAAGCUAUUUAUAUCAUAGACAAUAUUAAUGUAUAGUGUAAUUAAUGUAUAAUGUUAUAUUACAUUACAAUUAGUAACCUCUGAUAUUUUUAUCAAUAGCAUCUAAUAUAUAAGGUGUAAUGAUAUUAUUUUUAAGUUUAUAUGUGCAUAAUCUAUAUAAUAUCUAUGAAUUAUAUACUAUACAUGAGAUACUCAGGGGCUAUUUUCAUUUGAAUUUCAUGAAAUAAUUAGUUGUAAGAAUUAACUAAGCAAGAGUGAGACUAAAAGUGAUACGUGGAUAUAAACAUUGAAAAGAAUAAGUUCAGUGUAUACAGAUGUUUUUACAUUCCUGUUUGCUGUGAUUAUACAAAGUAGCUCUUAAAUAUUGUGUAAAAUUAAUUUAAUCCCAUACAGUAGGCUUAGUCAAUCUUGAGCAUAUUGCUGUCAUUUUUCAUGGUGUAUAAUUUACAGAUACACUUACAUAAAAAUGAUCAAAUACUUGUUAAAUGUAUGUUAUGCAAUGUUCAUUUAAAGUAUUACGCUUAUACUGUACUCAUUUUUAUUUUUGAACAAAAUUUUGUUUCACAGUACAUUAAUUUCUAUUAUGUAUUUUUGUACUUUCUCAUUAACACACUUUCACUAUUUCAAUAAACAAAA
rnacentral:lncRNA from 10 species